AUGUUUCUUUAACACCAUUAUGUGACACAAAUUUGACAUCGGCCAGGUGUCAAAUUUCUAUUGGCUUUUUUCUUUUAAAUGGAAAUGGGUUUUUUAAAAACUGACGAGGGUAGAAUAGGAAUUCUAAGGAUAUGAAAUUUCGUUUGGCGGUUUCUUUUUCUUCUCUUUCACUUUGUUUUUUAAGCUUCUUGUCUCCCAUCACUCUUUCCAUUCCCGGUUGCUUCAUCUCUCCAAUCCUUUGGUUUUUCCGUUGCACCAUUCGUCUCAUCUCAACCCAAAAAAAGUUAUCUUUUGCAAGGUAAGCUCUAUUUCCUCUAUCCCCUUUUUGGGUGGUUUUGGCUUUGUGUGUGUGUUUUGUCAUUUCGUCCCCUUCUCGCAUUGUGUGGGUUCUCUUUCUGUAUCAUUUUGUCCCCCUCUCUCAUUGUUCUCUUUGGCGUUAUUUAUUCAUUUUGUGUUUUGUGAACCCUAAGCCACCAUUAAUUUUUUGGUCUCUUUCGUGUUUUCAUUUUUUGUGAAGUUGCAAUGGCUUUUGGAAUCCCAAAGGUAAGUUAAAGUUUUGGUCUUUUAUUUAGUUGCAUUUUUUUGGUUAGUAAUAACAAUCUUUUCAUUAUUUUUUGAUUGGGAGAAUAUGAC
rnacentral:lncRNA from 1 species